rnacentral:tRNA from 1 species
GCCGGGGUGGCCGAGUGGUCCAAGGCGUCGGCCUUGAGAGCCGAUGGCCCUACGGGCCGCGUGGGUUCAAAUCCCACCCCCGGCGCCA